GUGCUUGCUUGGCAGCAUAUAUAAUGUGAUUGGAAGAACACAGAGGGAAGCAGGCUCCUGCACAAGGAUGACAUGCAAAUUCAUGAAGGAUUCCAUUUUUAA